rnacentral:rRNA from 1 species
UACGUAGGGUCCGAGCGUUGUCCGGAGUUACUGGGCGUAAAGCGCGCGCAGGCGGCGGUGCUGGCCCGGCGUGAAAGCCCCCGGCUCAACCGGGGAGAGUCGUCGGGGACCGCACCGCUUGAGGGCGGUAGGGGCCGGUGGAAUGCCUGGUGUAGUGGUGAAAUGCGUAGAGAUCAGGCAGAACACCUGGGGCGAAGGCGGCCGGCUGGGCCGUCCCUGACGCUGAGGCGCGAAGGCGUGGGGAGCGAACGGG